ACGUAAUAGAUACCCAGGUAGUCCACGCCCUAAACGAUGUCUACUAGUUGUCGGGUUUUAAUUAACUUGGUAACGCAGCUAAACGCGUGAAAGUAGACCGCCUGGGGAGUACGGUCGCAAGAUUAAAACUCAAAGGAAUUGACGGGGACCCGCACAAGCGGUGGAUGAUGUGGAUUAAUUCGAUGCAACGCGAAAAACCUUACCUGCCCUUGACAUGGCAGGAAUCCUGAAGAGAUUUGGGAGUGCUCGAAAGGGAACCUGCACACAGGUGCUGCAUGGCUGUCGUCAGCUCGUGUCGUGAGAUGUUGGGUUAAGUCCCGCAACGAGCGCAACCCUUGUCAUUAGUUGCUACGAAAGAGCACUCUAAUGAGACUGCCGGUGACAAACCGGAGGAAGGUGGGGAUGACGUCAAGUCCUCAUGGCCCUUAUGGGUAGGGCUUCACACGUCAUACAAUGGUACAUACAGAGGGCCGCCAACCCGCGAGGGGAGCUAAUCCCAGAAAGUGUAUCGUAGUCCGGAUUGUAGUCUGCAACUCGACUAC
rnacentral:rRNA from 1 species